UUGAUUAGAAAGAAAAUAGCAUUAAGAACUCCUAAAACAGAAGGGAACCAUGCAUUUAUAAACUUAGCUAGCUAAAGAACAGAGGAAUCCACCUAAACCUAACCCAUCCUCAAGAACUUUGAAGAAGACUACUCAAGAACAAUGAAGAACAUCAUAGAACAAAACUCAGAAAAAUCAUAAAACCCAGAAAUCAUUAUAAACUUAGCAAAUGAUAGAUCU
rnacentral:sRNA from 1 species